GCUGAUGCAGCCAUGCCGCGUGUGUGAAGAAGGCCUUCGGGGUUGUAAAGCACUUUCAGCAGUGAGGAAGGCGGGUACGUUAAUAGCGUAUUCGUUUGACGUUAGCUGCAGAAGAAGCACCGGCUAACUCCGUGCCAGCAGCCGCGGUAAUACGGAGGGUGCGAGCGUUAAUCGGAAUUACUGGGCGUAAAGCGCAUGCAGGUGGUUCGUUAAGUCAGAUGUGAAAGCCCGGGGCUCAACCUCGGAACUGCAUUUGAAACUGGCGGACUAGAGUACUGUAGAGGGGGGUAGAAUUUCAGGUGUAGCGGUGAAAUGCGUAGAGAUCUGAAGGAAUACCGGUGGCGAAGGCGGCCCCCUGGACAGAUACUGACACUCAGAUGCGAAAGCGUGGGGAGCAAACAGGAUUAGAUACCCUGGUAGUCCACGCCGUAAACGAUGUCUACUUGGAGGUUGUGGCCUUGAGCCGUGGCUUUCGGAGCUAACGCGUUAAGUAGACCGCCUGGGGAGUACGGUCGCAAGAUUAAAACUCAAAUGAAUUGACGGGGGCCCGCACAAGCGGUGGAGCAUGUGGUUUAAUUCGAUGCAACGCGAAGAACCUUACCUACUCUUGACAUCCAGAGAAGCCAGCGGAGACGCAGGUGUGCCUUCGGGAGCUCUGAGACAGGUGCUGCAUGGCUGUCGUCAGCUCGUGUUGUGAAAUGUUGGGUUAAGUCCCGCAACGAGCGCAACCCUUAUCCUUGUUUGCCAGCGAGUAAUGUCGGGAACUCC
rnacentral:rRNA from 1 species